rnacentral:snRNA from 3 species
AUACUUACCUGGGCAUAGGGGUUACCGUGAUCAGCAAGGCGGUUCCCCCCAGGGCGAGGCUCUUCCAUUGCACUCGGGGUGGGGUGACCCCUGCGAUUAUCCCUCAUGUGGAUAACUCGUAUGCGCAAUUGUUGGGUAGCCGGGAAGUGCGUCCGCGCACAUCCCGG